rnacentral:rRNA from 1 species
AUUGAACGCUGGCGGCAUGCCUUACACAUGCAAGUCGAACGGUAACAGGUCUUCGGAUGCUGACGAGUGGCGAACGGGUGAGUAAUACAUCGGAACGUGCCCGAUCGUGGGGGAUAACGAAGCGAAAGCUUUGCUAAUACCGCAUAAGAUCUACGGAUGAAAGCAGGGGACCGCAAGGCCUUGCGCGAACGGAGCGGCCGAUGGCAGAUUAGGUAGGUGGGGGGAUAAAAGCUUACCAAGCCGACGAUCUGUAGCUGGUCUGAGAGGACGACCAGCCACACUGGGACUGAGACACGGCCCAGACUCCGCCGGGAGGCAGCAGUGGGGAAUUUUGGACAAGGGGCGAAAGCCUGAUCCAGCCAUGCCGCGUGCAGGAUGAAGGCCUUCGGGUUGUAAACUGCUUUUGUACGGAACGAAAAGACUCUUUCUAAUAAAGAGGGUCCAUGACGGUACCGUAAGAAUAAGCACCGGCUAACUACGUGCCAGCCGCCGCCGUAA